UUUUCUGCAAAAGGGUAUUUUCGUAAAUAUUGUUUAAGAACUUGCAGAAGUAAAGUGAGAGGCAAUGUGAUAAAAGCCUAAACCUAAGGCUUCAAUUAUAAGCUUAAAGCAACCAAAAAAAAACAUGCCACCAACUUUGAGCUACAAAAAUUCAACACUCCAUUGAGUGACCCAUCUUUCUUUAUUCACAAGCCAUCUUUUUUUUUCUCUCUCUCGAACUUUUUCCGUGUCUUUCGAGGUCGGGUUUGACCGCAGUGGCUUGGAAUGAAAAUUGGAAUCCGAACAUUACCACAAAGUCUCGGGUCAUUGCUACACUACCAGGUCAUAAUUUCUAGAAAGAUCAUUUGAACCAACUCAAAAUUUUAGAUUAGUUGGGUUGAUGAUCCGAACAAUCCGAACAUUAGGACCUAAUAUUACAAAAAAUUUUAGAAAAUAUUAGGGGUAAAACAGUAAUUAAGAGAGUGAAAGAGGGUAGAUUUAAGAAAACUAACAGAAAUUAAUAAAAACAUAAAAGAAUGAUGAAUAAUGUCUGAGCAAAAACUAAGAAUGUCUCUAGACAGUGAGGAAUUAAAGGAAGUACACUUUUGAGCUGGUCGGCAUUAAAUUUAUACCAAAUUAAAAAAAAAAAUUAAAUAAAUAAAUUU